AUUGAACGCUGGCGGCAGGCCUAACACAUGCAAGUCGAACGUGUGGCGGACGGGUGAGUAUUGUAUGGGCAACUGCCUGAUGGAGGGGGAUAAAUACUGGAAACGGUAGCUAAUACCGCAUACCAUCGGAUGUGCCCAAAUGGGAAUAGCUAGUAGAUGGGGUAAAGGCUCACCUCGGCGACGAUCCCUAGCUGGUCUGAGAGGAUGACCAGCGACAUGGGAACUGGUACACGGUCCAGACUCCUACGGGAGGCAGCAGUGGGGAAUAUUGCACAAUGGGCGAAAGCCAGAUGCAGCCAUGCCGCGUGUAUGAAGAAGGCCUUCGGGUUGUAAAGUACUGUCAGCGAGGAGGCGUUACCCGCAGAAGAAGCACCGGCUAACUCCGAGCCAGCAGCCGCGGUAAUGC
rnacentral:rRNA from 1 species